AUUGAACGCUGGCGGCAUGCUUUACACAUGCAAGUCGAACGGUAACAGGCCGCAAGGUGCUGACGAGUGGCGAACGGGUGAGUAAUGCAUCGGAACGUGCCCAGUCGUGGGGGAUAACGCAGCGAAAGCUGCGCUAAUACCGCAUACGAUCUAUGGAUGAAAGCGGGGGACCGUAAGGCCUCGCGCGAUUGGAGCGGCCGAUGUCAGAUUAGGUAGUUGGUGGGGUAAAGGUUCACCAAGCCAACGAUCUGUAACUGGUCUGAGAGGAAGACCAGCCACACUGGGACUGAGACACGGCCCAGACUCCUACGGGAGGCAGCAGUGGGGAAUUUUGGACAAUGGGCGCAAGCCUGAUCCAGCAAUGCCGCGUGCAGGAAGAAGGCCUUCGGGUUGUAAACUGCUUUUGUACGGAACGAAACGGCUCUGGUUAAUACCUGGGGCUAAUGACGGUACCGUAAGAAUAAGCACCGGCUAACUACGUGCCAGCAGCCGCGGUAACAC
rnacentral:rRNA from 1 species